GUUAGGAAUAUUGGACAAUGGGCGCAAGCCUGAUCCAGCCAUGCCGCGUGAACGAUGAAGGCCUUCGGGUUGUAAAGUUCUUUAGCCGAUGAUUAUAAUGACUGUAGUCGGAAAAUAAGCCCCGGCUAACUUCGUGCCAGCAGCCGCGGUAAUACGAAGGGGGCGAGCGUUAUUCGGAAUCACUGGGCGUAAAGCGUGCGUAGGCGGCUUUGCAAGUUGGGAGUGAAAGCCCAGGGCACAACCCUGGAAUUGCUCUCAAAACUGCAAGGCUCGAAUUCGGGAGAGGAUAGCGGAAUUGUCAGUGUAGCAGUGAAAUGCGUAGAUAUUGACAGGAACACCAGUGGCGUAAGCGGCUAUCUGGACCGAUAUUGACGCUGAGGCACGAAAGCGUGGGGAUCAAACAGGAUUAGAAACCCCAGUAGUCC
rnacentral:rRNA from 1 species